rnacentral:rRNA from 1 species
CCUACGGGUGGCUGCAGUGAGGAAUAUUGGUCAAUGGGAGAGAUCCUGAACCAGCCAAGCCGCGUGAGGGAAGACGGCCCUAUGGGUUGUAAACCUCUUUUGUCGGGGAACAAAACCCGGGACGUGUCCCGGACUGCGUGUAUCCGACGAAAAAGCAUCGGCUAACUCCGUGCCAGCAGCCCCGGUAAUACGGAGGAUGCGCGGGUUAUCCGGUUUUAUUGGGUUUAAGGGGGGCGUAGGCGGUCCGUUAAGUCCGCGGUAAAAUUGCGGGGCUCAACCCCGUAGAGCCGUUGAAACUGGCAGACUGGAGUGGGGGAGAAGUACGCGGAAUGCGCGGUGUAGCGGUGAAAUGCAUAGAUAUCGCGCAGAACUCCGAUUGCGAAGGCAGCGUACCGGAGCCAGACUGACGCUGAGGCACGAAAGCGUGGGGAUCGAACAGGAUUAGAUACCCGUGUAGUC